GGGUACAUGGUGGCUUAGUGGUUAGCAUGCCUGCCUCUCAUCUCCGGGGUUGGAGGCUCGAAUCCUGCCUGUACCUG